rnacentral:lncRNA from 1 species
AAAAUUAAGUCUCACUUCGGACAUAAAAGAAGCUAGUGGGAGCUAUUCUGCAAAUAGGAUUUCCUAGCUGUCUCUGAUGAAGCAGCUUAUUCAAUAUCUUAUAAUUCGGUGCUUCCAAACAACCCUGACAUUUUUCUUCUGCUCAGAUUUUGAAAAAGAAAAUCAGCAUCCAAACUUGAAUAGCUUAUAAUCUGCUUUUUGUCAUUGGGUCUCACAUAACAUAAUCAGGUGUGCAGGUUGGCUUCCUUCUGUCUUCUUAGAAUAUGGUUUCCAUAUCUGGUCAACAGAGACUUGCCUGUUAUUUUAUUGGACAUACUGUUUUGUAAUUACUUUCUUCGUAGACAGAUAUAUAGUAGCCAGAGGGGAGGAUGUCAAAGGAAACAGCAGCAGAAAAAAUACUUAACACAGGUGGUAGGAGUAGAAUUGUCUCCUGUGGCAACCUUGGAAACUUGAUAUUGAAGAAGAGAGCACAAAAUGGAAAGAAAUCUGUCCCUGACACUGCAUGGAGAAAAGCUACCUGACCAGAAAUAUACAGAUUGGACUGUUUUCUGAGCAAUAAAUAAACUAUUAUUGUGUUAAGCACUGAAUGUUGGGGUUAGUUUGUUAAAUCAAUCAGGUGUCACUCUAGUGUACACAGAAAAAUAGUUCUUUUUUCAAAUAUUUGACAAAUUUCUUUCCUGUGAAUUAUGUUGUAUGUCAAGUAGAAUUGGAUCACAUCUUCCAGCUCCACCAUCUUCACAGGAAAGACAAAGAGCAUUUCAUCCACAGUGAAACUCUUCUAUGGACACAAUAUUUCACUUUUUUGUUUUGACAUCCAAUAUAGUUUUUCUUGUUUGAAUGGUUUGGACAAAUGCACCUACUUGUCCACUCUCCUGACCUUAAGAAAGGGCAGAACAGGAUCCAGGGAAAGCUGCUUUUUAGGGAAAGAGAUGAUGCAGAAGUUGCACACAGCACUGCCUCUCCUGUUUUAUUGACUUGAACCUGGUAACAUGGAAAGAGAAGCAGGAAAGAUUAAAUGGUAGACCAGAGACUGUCUCCAAUCACUAAGAGGAAGAAAGAGAAAAUGGAUACUGGAGAACAAAGGGUAACUCUUAGGACUGUGUAAGUAACUAUAUGCACAUUUAUUUUCACUUCUUCACCCUCUCUCCCAGGAGACAAUCCAGAGUCUCAUUAAGUUUCUACAUCCAUUUUAGAGUCCAGGAUCUCUAAGUGGUGAGCAGUCCUUUCUAUCAGUUUCCAAUGUGCUUCUUUGUCCUCUAGUGAUCUAAAAGGUAAUACAUAAGUUGUUUACAACCAACUUUCCAUGUAAUCAUCUAUUACUGUGUAACAAAUCAGCAAGCAGAGAGCUGAGACUCAUUGGGAAGUGAGUCCUUCUCCUUUGUCUUCAUUCCCACAUGUAGUGUCAUCAACUCUAUUAGACUCAGUCCUCCAAACCUCUCUUCAUUCUUUAAAUUUAUCCAUUUAUUAGGUUGGUGCAAAAGCAAUUGCAGUUUUUGACAUUGCUUUAAUGUAAAAAGCAAACUUUGGUUUUUUUCCAAAAAGUAAACUGCAAUUGUUUUUGCAGCAACCUAAUAUUUCCAUUCCUGUGGCUACCUCCUUGGCUCUGGCCACCAUCAUGUCUGACAUACCCUUUGCAGUCACCUGACUGUCUCUUCUCCUUCAGGUUGCCCCCAUUUAGUCCGUUCUCCACAUUGUGGCUGUAGUGGUUUUUUUACAUCAAGCAUGCUUCCUAAUGAUACAGCUGUUCUUAAAUAUUUUCAGUGGUUAUUUUGGCCUUCUCUUUGUCUUCAUUCCUCACCGUAACAUUCAUUGCUCUCUGGGACCUGGAUCUAGUGCAGAUCCCCAGGCUCUUCUCUGUCUGUUCUCAGGAACACUGGAC